GACGAACGCUGGCGGCGUGCCUAAUACAUGCAAGUCGAGCGAAGUUUUUCUGGUGCUUGCACCGGAAAAACUUAGCGGCGAACGGGUGAGUAACACGUAAAGAACCUGCCUCAUAGACGGGGACAACUAUUGGAAACGAUAGCUAAUACCGGAUAACAGCAUUAACUGCAUGGUUGAUGUUUAAAAGUUGGUUUUGCUAACACUAUGAUAUGGCUUUGCGGUGCAUUAGCUAGUUGGUGGGGUAAAGGCCUACCAAGGCGACGAUGCAUAGCCGACCUGAGAGGGUGAUCGGCCACACUGGGACUGAGACACGGCCCAGACUCCUACGGGAGGCAGCAGUAGGGAAUCUUCCGCAAUGGGCGAAAGCCUGACGGAGCAACGCCGCGUGAGUGAAGAAGGAUUUCGGUUCGUAAAGCUCUGUUGUUAGGGAAGAAUGAUUGUGUAGUAAAUAUACACAGUAGAGACGGUACCUAACCAGAAAGCCACGGCUAACUACGUG
rnacentral:rRNA from 1 species